CCGACCUUAGCUCAGUUGGUAGAGCGCAAGACUGUAAUGGCUACAUAUUAUCUUGAUGCCGCCUGUUCGAUCCAGGCAGGUCGGA